rnacentral:rRNA from 1 species
AGAGAGAGACAUGCGCGCAUAUCAAUAAGCGGAGGAAAAGAAACUAACUAGGAUUCCCUCAGUAACGGCGAGUGAAGCGGGAAGAGCUCAAAUUUGAAAUCUUCAAGGUUCUACCUUGACGAAUUGUAGUUUAAAGAAGUGUUUUCUGUUGAAGUUUUGGUAAAAGUUCUUUGGAAUAGGACAUCAUAGAGGGUGAGAAUCCCGUAUUUGACCAUUUACUUUCAGCUUUGUGAUACACUUUCAAAGAGUCGGAUUGUUUGGGAAUGCAGUCCAAAAUGGGUGGUAAAUUUCAUCUAAAGCUAAAUAUUGGCGAGAGACCGAUAGCGAACAAGUACCGUGAGGGAAAGAUGAAAAGAACUUUGAAAAGAGAGUUAAACAGUACGUGAAAUUGUCAAAAGGGAAGCGUUUGACACCAGUGUUGUUUUCUCGAAAAUCAAUUAAAGAAGGCAUGAUUUAUGUAAGUUGUAUUAGACUUUAUCAGCUUAACUGCCUCUUUUCUUGAGCUUUUCUUUAAUGCACUUUUCAGUUUAACAAGUCAACAUCAAUUUCUUUUGCUGUAAAAAAGCUUGAGGAAGGUGGCUUGAGAUUCGUCUUAAGUGUUUAUAGCCUCUUGCCUAUGCAGUCGGAGAGAUUGAGGUCUGCAGCGUAGAUCCUUCGGGGCUAGAAUACAUUUGUGCUAAGUUAUAGCAUUUUAUAGACAACUUGUUGACUAUGAUUAGUCAUUGUAGCUUACUCGCUUAUGUUAUUUUACCUACGCUUAGGAUGUUGAUGUGAUACUGCGAGCA